CCGAGUGCGGACCCCUCGCGGGUCCAACCUCCCACCCGUGUCUCUUGUAUACCCUGUUGCUUUGGCGGGUCCAUCGGGGCAACCCGAUCGCCGGGGGGCAUUUCGCCCCCGGGCCCGCGCCCGCCAGAGCGCCUAAUGAACCCUAAUGAAGAUGGACUGUCUGAGUGAUUUGAUAAUAAUCA
rnacentral:misc_RNA from 1 species